GAUGAACGCUAGCGGCAGGCCUAACACAUGCAAGUCGAGGGAGAAGCCCUUUCGGGGGUAGAAACCGGCGCACGGGUGCGUAACGCGUAUGCAACCUACCUUUCACAGGGGGAUAGCCCGAAGAAAUUUGGAUUAAUACCCCAUAAUAUUAUUGGAUGGCAUCAUUUGAUAAUUAAAACUGCGGUGGUGAAAGAUGGGCAUGCGUCCUAUUAGCUAGUUGGAGUGGUAACGGCACCCCAAGGCUACGAUAGGUAGGGGUCCUGAGAGGGAGAUCCCCCACACUGGUACUGAGACAGGGACCAGACUCCUACGGGAGGCAGCAGUGAGGAAUAUUGGUCAAUGGUCGGAAGACUGAACCAGCCAUGCCGCGUGCAGGAAGAAUGCCUUAUGGGUUGUAAACUGCUUUUAUAUGGGAAGAAUAAGGCGUACGUGUACGUUGAUGACGGUACCAUAUGAAUAAGCAUCGGCUAACUCCGUG
rnacentral:rRNA from 1 species